ensembl:lncRNA
GCUCCCGACGCUCGCAGUGGACUCGAAUGAAUCAAUGGCGAUAACGCUGUUGUUUUACAGAGUUAUGCCACUGCAAAAGGCCAAUUGCCAUGUCACGGUAAUCACCAUCACUCAAGGUCCAUGCAUUUGUGCUCAAUUAAAACGUUAUGGCAAAAAAGGGGGAAAGUGAAAUUAGGCUAUGGUUUUAUGUUCAAUCCCCGCUGCCUCGUGCAGAUUGAGAUUAGCAGCCUUCUCCUCGGUGCCACGCUCAAAGGAACGCGGUACGCUUUCAUCCUCCGCACUGAUUCGUUUCCAACUCCACGUUCGACCAAACGCUAGCGGGCAUGGUUGCUGCUGGCAUGACAACCGCUUUCGUUGCCGGGAAGACGCUCUGCCGGGAAAGCUGCGGCCGUCGUCGUCGUCAAAAGUGACUCAUCUCUGAUUGCCAGAACUCAGGAAUGAAAGAACACAAAGGGCCUGCGAGGCAAGGUGGAAAAAAGACAUCAUAACGAGUAAGUCCUCAAGAGAGCCGCGAUGUUUUAAAGGCGUCAGAGACAGUGUGCUCGUCUCCGUUCAUUUCCUCUUUUUGUUCUUUUCCAGAGGAGACGAGUGCAUUAGACAGACAGAAUGGAGGGAAAUUAGAUAUCGACUUUGCUGUGUUCUUUCCUUCGGGAGUGCUAAUGUAGUUUAUGCACCGGCAUCAGCAGCCCUGGCGCCUCCAUAACUCACCACUGUACAGUACAGAGGCCUAUGGGGAGCAUGAGUUAUACCCUACAGAGGCCUCAAGGACCAACAACCCCCCCCCCCCCCCCAUCACCACCCUUCUCUGUCUUACCCUCACUUUCACACAGAGAGAGAGAGAGAGAAAGAGACAUGUGUGAGAGAGAGAGAGAGAGAGAGAGUCAGACAUGUGCACAUACAGACAGAGAGAGAGAGAGAGAAAGAGAGAGAGAGAGAGAGAGACAUGUGUACAUACAGAGAGAGAGAGAGAGAGAGAGAGAGAGAGAGACACAUGUACAUACAGAGAGAGAGAGAGAGAGAGAGGUAGACACAUGUACAUACAUACAGAGAGAGAGAGAGAGAGGUAGAGGUAGAAAGAGACAU